AGAUCUAAAAAGGAUUCGAAAGGGCAUUGGUGUCCAAAAUUGGUCAGUGUAGCUACAACUGAGACACAGAUCAUGCUUCCAUGACAGUAAACAUAUUACAGUUAUGACAAUGGGAACUGUACUGAUU
ensembl:snoRNA